rnacentral:rRNA from 1 species
CAGUCGCCACGGUAAUACGAAGGGGGCUAGCGUUGCUCGGAAUUACUGGGCGUAAAGGGCGCGUAGGCGGAUAUUUAAGUUAGAGGUGAAAGCCCAGGGCUCAACCCUGGAAUAGCCUUUAAUACUGGAUGUCUUGAGUUCGGGAGAGGUGAGUGGAACUCCGAGUGUAGAGGUGAAAUUCGUAGAUAUUCGGAAGAACACCAGUGGCGAAGGCGACUCACUGGCCCGAUACUGACGCUGAGGCGCGAAAGCGUGGGGAGCAAACAGGAUUAGAUACCCCCGUAGUCCCUGUCUCUUAUAC